AGCAGCCGCGGUAAUUCCAGCUGCAAUAGCGUAUAUUAAAGUUGCUGCAGUUAAAAAGCUCGUAGUUGAAUUGCGGGACUAAUAUGUUGGUCGGUGCCUCGGUACGUACUGAUAUUUUUGGUUUCUCCCUUCGUGACGAACCUGUGAUGUCAUUAAUUUGGUGUCUUGGGAAAUCAGGACUGUUACUUUGAAAAAAUUAGAGUGUUUAAAGCAGGCUCGCGCUUGAAUGCAUUAGCAUGGAAUAAUGAAAUAGGACGUUUGAUUCUAUUUUGUUGGUUUCUGGGAUCGACGUAAUGAUUAAUAGGGAUAGUUGGGGGCAUUGGUAUUCAAUUGUCAGAGGUGAAAUUCUUGGAUUUAUUGAAGACUAACGACUGCGAAAGCAUUUGCCAAGGAUGUUUUCAUUAGUCAAGAACGAAAGUUAGGGGAUCGAAGACGAUCAGAUACCGUCGUAGUCUUAAGCAUAAACUAUGCCGACUAGGGAUGGGAUGAUGUUAGUUUUUGAAUGACUCA
rnacentral:rRNA from 1 species